AAAGAUCGAAUGGGGAGAUUCAUCGUCAGCGACGCUGGCUUCACGACGGCUCGUGAUAUCGCGCGGAGGCUUCGCGGCCUUCCGUGGUACGCGGUCGUCGCGUCUUACGUCCAGCGGCGUCGGCGUGCACUUCUCCCCUAGUAGGACGUCGCGACCCGUUGGGUGCCGAUCCAAGGCCCGGUGUGGGCGUCUGUCGCGUCGUUUCGGCGCACGCGGCAAACCCCCGGUCGCCAGUUUAAUCGGCUGCCCGGCGGUACUCGCAUGGUAUCGGGCCGCAAAUAUCGAACUGCGUCGGGCCCGUCGCAAGCGCGGCCAGCGUGCGGAGGUACGGACCUAGCGCCGUCCCCGUUCCUGGCCAGCUGUUGGCAGACGGUGUCCUCCGACGGGCCAAGAAAACUACUUCGAGAGUGUGAUACCGGUCGGCGACGCUACUGCUUUGGGUAAUCUCAGGACCCGUCUUGAAACACGGACCAAGGAGUCUAACAUGUGCGCGAGUCAUUGGGACAAGCAUAUGCCUAAAGGCGAAAUGAAAGUGAAGGUCGGCCUAGCGCCGACCGAGGGAGGAUGGGCCGCGUCACGAUGCGGCUUCGCACUCCCGGGGCGUCUCGUUCUCAUC
rnacentral:rRNA from 1 species